CGUAGGUGGCAAGCGAUACUCGGAAUCACUAGGCGUAAAGCGCAGGUAGGUGGUUUGGUAAGUCUUUUGUGAAAGCUCCUGGCUCAACUGGGAGAGGUCAAAGGAAACUACCAGACUAGAGUUUGGUAGGGGAUACUGGAAUUCCUGGUGUAGCGGUGAAAUGCGUAGAUAUCAGGAGGAAUACCUAUGGCGAAAGCAGGUAUCUGGGCCAUAACUGACACUGAGCUGCGAAAGCUAGGGGAGCAAACAGGAUUAGAUACCCUGGUAGUCCUAGCCCUAAACGAUGUUCAUUAGAUGUGGGAGGUAUCGACCCCUUCCGCGUCGCAGCUAACGCAUUGAAUGAACCGCCUGGGGAGUACGGCCGCAAGGUUG
rnacentral:rRNA from 1 species